GACGAACGCUGGCGGCGUGCUUAACACAUGCAAGUCGAACGGAAAGGCCCUGCUUUUGUGGGGUGCUCGAGUGGCGAACGGGUGAGUAACACGUGAGUAACCUGCCCUUGACUUUGGGAUAACUUCAGGAAACUGGGGCUAAUACCGGAUAGGAGCUCCUGCUGCAUGGUGGGGGUUGGAAAGUUUCGGCGGUUGGGGAUGGACUCGCGGCUUAUCAGCUUGUUGGUGGGGUAGUGGCUUACCAAGGCUUUGACGGGUAGCCGGCCUGAGAGGGUGACCGGCCACAUUGGGACUGAGAUACGGCCCAGACUCCUACGGGAGGCAGCAGUGGGGAAUAUUGCACAAUGGGCGGAAGCCUGAUGCAGCAACGCCGCGUGCGGGAUGACGGCCUUCGGGUUGUAAACCGCUUUCGCCUGUGACGAAGCGUGAGUGACGGUAAUGGGUAAAGAAGCACCGGCUAACUACGUGCCAGCAGCCGCGGUGAUACGUAGGGUGCGAGCGUUGUCCGGAUUUAUUGGGCGUAAAGGGCUCGUAGGUGGUUGAUCGCGUCGGAAGUGUAAUCUUGGGGCUUAACCCUGAGCGUGCUUUCGAUACGGGUUGACUUGAGGAAGGUAGGGGAGAAUGGAAUUCCUGGUGGAGCGGUGGAAUGCGCAGAUAUCAGGAGGAACACCAGUGGCGAAGGCGGUUCUCUGGGCCUUUCCUGACGCUGAGGAGCGAAAGCGUGGGGAGCGAACAGGCUUAGAUACCCUGGUAGUCCACGCUGUAAACGGUGGGUACUAGGUGUGGGGUCCAUUCCACGGGUUCCGUGCCGUAGCUAACGCUUUAAGUACCCCGCCUGGGGAGUACGGCCGCAAGGCUAAAACUCAAAGGAAUUGACGGGGCCCCGCACAAGCGGCGGAGCAUGCGGAUUAAUUCGAUGCAACGCGUAGAACCUUACCUGGGUUUGACAUGGAUCGGGAGUGCUCAGAGAUGGGUGUGCCUCUUUUGGGGUCGGUUCACAGGUGGUGCAUGGCUGUCGUCAGCUCGUGUCGUGAGAUGUUGGGUUAAGUCCCGCAACGAGCGCAACCCUUGUUCACUGUUGCCAGCACGUUAUGGUGGGGACUCAGUGGAGACCGCCGGGGUCAACUCGGAGGAAGGUGGGGAUGACGUCAAGUCAUCAUGCCCCUUAUGUCCAGGGCUUCACGCAUGCUACAAUGGCUGGUACAGAGAGUGGCGAGCCUGUGAGGGUGAGCGAAUCUCGGAAAGUCGGUCUCAGUUCGGAUUGGGGUCUGCAACUCGACCUCAUGCAAGUCGGAGUCGCUAGUAAUCGCAGAUCAGCAACGCUGCGGUGAAUACGUUCCCGGGGCU
rnacentral:rRNA from 1 species